rnacentral:rRNA from 2 species
AGGAAACACCAGUGGCGAAGGCGGCUUUUUUGGUCUGUAACUGACGCUUAAGCGCGAAAGCGUGGGGAGCAAACAGGAUUAGAUACCCUGGUAGUCCACGCCGUAAACGAUGAGUGCUAAGUGUUAGAGGGUUUUCCCCCUUUAGUGCUGCAGCUAACGCAUUAAGCACUCCGCCUGGGGAGUACGGUCGCAAGACUGAAACUCAAAGGAAUUGACGGGGGCCCGCACAAGCGGUGGAGCAUGUGGUUUAAUUUCGAAGCAACGCGAAGAACCUUACCAGGUCUUGACAUCCUCUGACAACUCUAGAGAUAGAGCGUUCCCCUUCGGGGGACAGAGUGACAGGUGGUGCAUGGUUGUCGUCAGCUCGUGUCGUGAGAUGUUGGGUUAAGUCCCGCAACGAGCGCAACCCUUGAUCUUAGUUGCCAGCAUUUAGUUGGGCACUCUAAGGUGACUGCCGGUGACAAACCGGAGGAAGGUUGGGGAUGACGUCAAAUCAUCAUGCCCCUUAUGACCUGGGCUACACACGUGC